rnacentral:rRNA from 1 species
UACAGAGGUCCCAAGCGUUGUUCGGAUUCAUUGGGCGUAAAGGGUGCGUAGGUGGCGCUGUAAGUCGGGUGUGAAAUUUCGGAGCUUAACUCCGAAACUGCAUUCGAUACUGCCGUGCUUGAGGACUGGAGAGGAGACUGGAAUUUACGGUGUAGCGGUGAAAUGCGUAGAUAUCGUAAGGAAGACCAGUGGCGAAGGCGGGUCUCUGGACAGUUCCUGACGCUGAGGCACGAAAGCGUGGGGAGCAAACAGG